AUGAAAUGAAUGAAGAAUGAACCUCACAGAAGAACCUGAAGAUGUUGGUGGAUUACAGCCGGAUCCCGGGACAAGAGAACAGAUGCAUCCUUUGGCAGUCGAUUGCACCCUGCCCUAGAGAGAAGUCCAGGAUAAUACUUUUGGGCCUAUAUUUCUCCACCCUGGAAUUCAUCCAGUUCAUUCCAGAAAUAUUGACCCUCUGCUUCUGUGACACCUCCUCAAUGAAUGUCUGAUGGACAGACACUUUCCGUUUACCUUGCAGCAAUUUUCUUUCCUGUGGAGGUUGGAAGAAAAGGUGAAUGGUGCCAAAAGUUGCCUGCUUUGGUGAAUAGGACUGUUCCACUUGGUUCUCAGAACAUGGGCCCUCGUUUAAAGCUGCAGCUGUGAUCCUCGCUGUCUGUCGGCAUUGAAGGGACCUGAUGUUUUACGUUAUUGGU